rnacentral:tRNA from 1 species
UCCCUGGUAGCCUAGUAGUUAAGGAUUUGGCAUUAUCACUGCUGUGGCUUAGGUUUGAUCCCUAGCCUGGGAA